AUGCGGCGGGCUCGGGCCGCGGGGCUGCCGGCGCUGGUUGUGCUGCUGAUCGUGGCUGCAGUCAGAGCCCAGGUGCAGCAGGAACCAUUCCUGGAGACCACCGAGGGCACCAGCAUCAACAUCACCUGCUCACAUCCCAAAAUCCAGACCAAUGACUGGAUCCAGUGGUACCGUCAGCUCCCAGGCCAAGGACCUGAACUCCUCGCUCUCACUCUGAAAGAUACCAAAGAGCUGCCGAAUGGUGCAGGAUCGCUGUCGGUGUCGGCAGAUAGGCGUUCGAGCUGGCUGUGGCUCGCUGAGCCCCGGCGCGGGGACGCGGCCGUGUAUUACUGCGCGCUGAGGGCCACGGGCAGAGGAGCCGGGGCUGCGGCCGGGCACGAACCGCGGCGGGCGGGGCCGGAUGUCCACAGACAUCCAUGGAUGUGCAUUCAGCAUCUUCCUGAAAGAGUAG